GGGUCAGAGUGGCUGAGGAGGUUUCUGUUCUGACAGAGAGCUGAGCUGGGUCAGAGUGGCUGAGGAGGUUUCUGUUCUGACAGAGAGCUGAGCUGGGUCAGAGUGGCUGAGGAGGUUUCUGUUCUGACAGAGAGCUGAGCUGGGUCAGAGUGGCUGAGGAGGUUUCUGUUCUGACAGAGAGCUGAGCUGGGUCAGAGUGGCUGAGGAGGUUUCUGUUCUGACAGAGAGCUGAGCUGGGUCAGAGUGGCUGAGGAGGUUUCUGUUCUGACAGAGAGCUGAGCUGGGUCAGAGUGGCUGAGGAGGUUUCUGUUCUGACAGAGAGCUGAGCUGGGUCAGAGUGGCUGAGGAGGUUUCUGUUCUGACAGAGAGCUGAGCUGGGUCAGAGUGGCUGAGGAGGUUUCUGUUCUGACAGAGAUCUGAGCUGGGUCAGAGUGGCUGAGGAGGCUUCUGUUCUGACAGAGAGCUGAGCUGGGUCAGAGUGGCUGAGGAGGUUUCUGUUCUGACAGAGAGCUGAGCUGGGUCAGAGUGGCUGAGGAGGUUUCUGUUCUGACAGAGAGCUGAGCUGGGUCAGAGUGGCUGAGGAGGUUUCUGUUCUGACAGAGAGCUGAGCUGGGUCAGAGUGGCUGAGGAGGUUUCUGUUCUGACAGAGAUCUGAGCUGGGUCAGAGUGGCUGAGGAGGUUUCUGUUCAUAUGCAUAUGCUCUUUUAUUUCUGGGAAGGAAAUUAAUUGCUGACAGAAGUUAAAUCUGUCAUUAUAAUCCUAAUUCUUAAUCCCUCUCUUAUCCUGUCUCUUUCCAUCCCCUCCUCCACCUUUCCUCUCUUCUUCUCUCUCCUUCCCUCUCUUCUUCUAUCUCCUUCCCUCUCUUCUUCUCUCUCCUUCCCUCUCUUCUUCUCUCCUUUCCUCUCUUCUUCUCACCACUUCCCUCUUUUCUUCUCUCCUUCACUCUCUUCUCUCUCCUUCCCUCUCUUCUCUCUCCUUCCCUCUCCUUCUCUCUUCUUCACCUCUCUCCUCUCUUCUUCUUCUUUCUCCUUCCCUCUCUUCUUCUCCUCUCUCCUUCCCUCUCUUCUUCUUUCUCCUUCCCUCUCUUCUUCUCUUCU